UUUCUCCUGCUCUUUUUCUUUGCUGGCUUCUCCCUUAUUCACGCGCCGUGGAGGUAAAAUGACAACAUUUCCUUAGCUUCAUUGAGAUCCCUCCCUUUACAUGAUCUCAAGGUUUUUUGGGUGAAGUUCUGGUUUUAGUUGACCUACUGUUCCUUUUUUUUUCCCCCUGUUCUUACUGUCCAUUGUCUAUCAAUUUCUUUUGUGCUUGCUAACCCACACGGCAGUUAAUGCUUGAUUGAUAAUUGAUAGAGCCAGUUUCUUCUCCUUUCUUUGUCAAUUUCUUUUGCACUUGCUUUGAGAGUUAGUAGAGGGAUGGGUUAUACCUAUCCUGCUAUUCAUGCUUUGUAACUACCAUUAGCCCUCUGCUUGAUUGACAAUUAGUGGAAGGAUAAGUUGUUUGAGGCGUGAUUUAUGGUGGAAAGCAGG
rnacentral:misc_RNA from 1 species